rnacentral:lncRNA from 1 species
UGGAGACAAAUUAAUUCAAGACUCUCCAAUUAGACAUUUUAAAUUUUAGUUAUAUUGUAAUUUAAUUGUUUAAACUUUUUGGACAAACUUUUGCACAUUGGGCCAUUAAAAAUAUGAGGGGCCCAAAGAUUGCAGGACACUUGGCACUUAAGCUUUCCUUUUAUUUUUGGGUGGACCCCACCUCAUUUUAGAGGGCACGUGGCCUUGCUUUAAGUGAACCAGCCGUCAAUUUAUUUUUGGAGGGGAGGGGAGCACAUGGCCUUUUCUUUGAAACCAUGUCUUUGCAUUUUGAUUAUGGAUGAAUAAAAAAAAC